AUUCAAAAACAUUUAUACCAAAACAGCUAUAAGAACGGAUUUGUCUAACAAAAAAAACAAAUGUCCCGGAGUGAUUUAAGAUUUCAGUUUCGUUGUAAAAACUCCAAAACACGUGUGCGGGUUCGUUCUACCAAGUUGUGGGUGAAAGUUUACGAGUACGGCCUUCUUUGUUCCCCCUUUAUGACCUUUUUAUCAACGUUAGUCCUACUUGUUCCGAAAACAUUUUCUCUUCCGCAGACUCUCCCGUGUAGUUCUAUCUUCGAGUGGGGAGUCCAGGUACCGGUGGUUUUGCCCCCGUUGUUAACACUGUUACCUUCUCUCCUGUCUACCUCUUCCUCUCCAGUUCCCCCUCCAAACCCCCAGACGCUGACCUUUCCCCUUCCUCCUAAACCACGCAGCCGCACUCCGAUGACGAUUACAGUCAUCCCCCUCGACUUCAAUGCUAACACUAUCUGAGCGGGGACCCCCGGUACACGCACUCCCCCGGUAAAGAAAGGAAAAACCCAAACGGUCGACCUAGACCCUCUCCAGGUGAUGGUUAUAAUCCCACACACGAGACCUGGCGAUCGGUCGGUUGCCAAUGACCGAUCAGCGCAGGUAUUUUUUUAUACGCAAAAGAACUUGGCACCUUUUAUAAGUAUAGAGUAAGUCAAGC
rnacentral:rRNA from 1 species